rnacentral:lncRNA from 1 species
CUCCACUGCAAGCUUAAGAGACUGGUUUUAUUUCAAGAAUAACUAAGGGUAUAUUAACACGUGUAUCUCAAAGUAACACUGAAUUAUUGAAGACAUACUGUUCCAAUAGUCAAACAGUUGACAGAGAGGGGACAGGAACCAAUGUACUGGAAAAACACACUUGUAUUAUAUGUAAAAAUCGAUGGCCAAUAUUUCUCUUAUUAAGAGAAAAAUACCCAACAAAUUAAAAGGUGAAAAGCUGUGCUCAAAUAAAAAAAAAAAAAAAACCCAAAACCUUGCAUGCACAAGCUAAGCUCAGACCCUUAAAAACCAGAUAGAAAUUGACAAAGUCAAACAAAGGAGAAAAACUGGCUGAACUUCUCAAACUAAAUUAUAUCAAAUAUAUGUGCAUUUUAGCAAAAUAAACCACUAAACUAUACUUUGUAGACAUAUUCAUUACAUUUAUUUUAAUAACUACUUCAUUAUAGGCUGACUGGCUUUCCUGUGUGGAUAAAGUGUGAUCUGAAAGCAGCGCUGACCGAAUGUAAAUAAAGCAAACGUUCCCAGCCAUUUUCGGCAUGAACAUGGACUCCAGCGUUUAAUGCAGACCCAAAGCCACACAUUUUUGGGGAGCAGGUUUUACUUGCAGUAGAUUCUUUUCAUUAAAGAUCACAAAAAUACAAUACAAUGUGACAAGCCCAGUUUAAGAAUUGCAUGCAGUAGCUCAUAUUAACACAAACAGCUCCCCACGAAGGCCGACGAGCUAAAUCCGGUGUCAACAGGGUUCAUUGCAGGAGUAGAAUAAUCCGGUACAAGGAACGAGAACAGAUUGAAACCAGAAACAAAGCCAUGCCUGACAGUCACUCAAGGUCAAUCCGAUCAUUUCCAUGACCAAUUUACCCAUGUGAACAAUUCAAAAUGACGGUGGAAGAGCUGAGCACCCUGUACUCACACACGAUGCCCACAGCUUGGCAAAAGGUACACAAACACUUGUUUGAAAAGAAUGACUGAAACGUCUACUUUCAAACAACAAUGGACACUUUUAAAGGGAAUGCUGACAUUUAACUUUACAAAAUGAAAUUUAAAAUGUUAAGUAGUACUCUGGGGAAGAAUAUGCCUGAAGCGUAACCAUGAUUUCCCAGUGGUAUAAUUAAACAGAGCUCUAAUUUAAAAACUCUUCCUGGGCUGGGCGCCGUGGCUCACACCCAUUAAUUCUAGCACUUUGGGAGGCCGAGGUGUGAGUCACCGUACGCGACACAAACUAUUUGGAACCAGCAGGGCACCUUUAUGAAAGGUGAAACAGUAGCUCUUGUAACCUUCCGAACACUAACAGUACCCCGCCCCGCCACACAGCUAUGCCUAGUUUCCAGAAACUCUAAGCAAAAGAAAGAACCAGAACAAAAACCAGGGGCUCUCAGACAUCCCCAAGGUCCCCGCUUCUUCGUUUCUCUCCAUCCCUUUGUGCACUUCCCCUCCCCACCCUUUUAGCUCCUCACACAUCUUCCC